GAUGAACGCUGGCGGCGUGCCUAAUACAUGCAAGUCGAGCGAACGGACGAGAAGCUUGCUUCUCUGAUGUUAGCGGCGGACGGGUGAGUAACACGUGGAUAACCUACCUAUAAGACUGGGAUAACUUCGGGAAACCGGAGCUAAUACCGGAUAAUAUUUUGAACCGCAUGGUUCAAAAGUGAAAGACGGUCUUGCUGUCACUUAUAGAUGGAUCCGCGCUGCAUUAGCUAGUUGGUAAGGUAACGGCUUACCAAGGCAACGAUGCAUAGCCAACCUGAGAGGGUGAUCGGCCACACUGGAACUAAGACACGGUCCAGACUCCUACGGGAGGCAGCAGUAGGGAAUCUUCCGCAAUGGGCGAAAGCCUGACGGAGCAACGCCGCGUGAGUGAUGAAGGUCUUCGGAUCGUAAAACUCUGUUAUUAGGGAAGAACAUAUGUGUAAGUAACUGUGCACAUCUUGACGGUACCUAAUCAGAAAGCCACGGCUAACUACGUG
rnacentral:rRNA from 1 species